rnacentral:rRNA from 1 species
CAGUAGCCGCGGUAAUACAGAGGGUGCAAGCGUUAAUCUGAAUUACUGGGCGUAAAGCGCGCGUAGGUGGUUUGUUAAGUUGGAUGUGAAAUCCCCGGGCUCAACCUGGGAACUGCAUCCAAAACUGGCAAGCUAGAGUAUGGUAGAGGGUGGUGGAAUUUCCUGUGUAGCGGUGAAAUGCGUAGAUAUAGGAAGGAACACCAGUGGCGAAGGCGACCACCUGGACUGAUACUGACACUGAGGUGCGAAAGCGUGGGGAGCAAACAGGAUUAGAUACCCCGGUAGUCCCUGUCUCUUAUAC